rnacentral:rRNA from 1 species
ACAAAGAAGAGUUUGAUCCUGGCUCAGGAUGAUCGCUAGCGGCAGGCUUAACACAUGCAAGUCGAGGGGCAGCGCGGGGUAGCAAUACUCUGGCGGCGACCGGCGGAAGGGUGCGUAACGCGUGAGCAACUUGCCCGCAUCAGGGGGAUAACCGGUGGAAACGCCGCCUAAUACCCCGUAACAACAGGGACCGCAUGAUUCCUGUUUGAAAGCUCCGGCGGAUGCGGAUGGGCUC